GACCUUCAAUUCUCGUUUAGGUUGUGUCGGCUAAAAAUCGCUCGAUCUAAAAUUCGAGUUUUUAGCUGUCUACUGCUACGCUGAAACUUCGAAAAAUCAUAACUUCCUCAUACGAAGUCAGAUUUGGGCGUUCUUUUUAUCGAACUUCUCGGUUUAACGAAUACUACGACUUUCGUUUAGAUUACUAAGGCUAAAAAGUAGUUUAUCAAAAACUCACUUUUUACGACAUUCAGCACCGUGCCGGUUUUGUCGCGAAACUUCGAUAGGUCAUAACUUCUUCGUUAUAACUCGGAUUUUGGUAUUCUUUAUAUCCCCGAAAUCCUUGUUUCGACCACUACAACUUUAUGUAAAGAUAUCGGGCUUAUCUCACACUUUAAUUUUGACGCUUAUUUUUAUUCUUAAUUAAUUAAGCCCUAAUAAUUAAGCAUAAAACACAUAAUUCACAUAAUAUUCACAUAAUUCCUUUUCAUUUCUUCAAAAUGAGUUACAAAGGUUAACCUAGACUAUCAACUCAAUAUAAAUGCCUAGGCUAGAAACACGAGUGUUACAAUUCUCUCCCCCUUAGGAUGAUUCCGUCCCCGGAAUCACAUAUCACCAAACAACUGCGGGUAGCGACUCAUCAUGUCACUCUCCGUUUCCCAAGUGAGAUUUGGUCCAUUCGUAUGUUUCCAGCGCACAAGCACUAAAUCGACCAUCUUGCGUCGUAACUUCAUAGUCUUACGGUCAACGAUUGCCUCAGGUUCUUCGAUCAACCUCUUGUUUUCAUCCAACCUUAACUCAGAAAUCGGAAUUAUGUCGGGCACAUCUCCUGUGAACUUUCUCAAAUAACACACAUGAAAGGUGUUAUGAAUACCCUCUAGUUCUUCCGGUAACUCUAGCUUGUAAGCUUGAUUCCCGAUUCUCUGAAGAACUUUAAAUGGUCCAAUAAACCUUGGACUCAACUUCCCUCUCUUACCAAAUCUUAUAAGUCCCUUCCACGGCGAGACUUUAAGUAAAACCGAAUCUCCAACAUCGAAGGAUAUCGGUUGUCUUUUCUUGUCAGCAUAACUCUUUUGUCGAUCUUGAGCAGCUAACAUCCUUUCCCUUAUCACUUUCAACUUUUCAGCAGUCUCAUGGACUAUUUCAGGUCCCAUAAACUGCUUUUCCCCAGCUUCCAGCCAACAUGAUGGCGUUCGACACUUCUCCCCAUACAAAGCGUGAUAAGGUGCCAUCUUAAUGCUUGAGUGGAAACUAUUAUUAUAGGAGAAUUCUACUAAAGGUAAGUGUUCAUCCCAGUUACCUUGGAAUUCUAGGGUACAUGCUCUCAGCAUAUCCUCCAAUGUUUGAAUCGUUCGCUCGCUCUGACCAUCGGUUUGCGGAUGGUAAGCUGUACUCAAACACAACUUGGUACCCAAUUCCUCUUGUAGACUCCUCCAAAACCUUGAGGUAAAACGGCUGUCACGAUCGGACACAAUCGUUAACGGAACACCGUGAAGCCUCACAAUUUCCUUCACGUAAGAAUUCGCAAGUUUAUCCAUAGACCAUUUCUCUUUGGCCGCUAUGAAAUGCGCACUCUUAGUGAAGCGAUCAACGACCACCCAAAUCAUGUCGUGACCGUUCCUUGUUCUGGGCAGUUUAGUCACAAAAUCCAUGGUGAUGUCUUCCCAUUUACCCAUGGGUACGGGUAAAGGUUCUAAACUCCCAUACGGUUUCUGAUGUUGUGCCUUAACCCUAGCACAAGUUACACACUCGGCCACAUACUUAGCAACAUCGAGCUUCAUCGUCGGCCACCAAUAAUAGGGUUUUAGAUCCCUAUACAUUUUCGUACUGCCGGGAUGAAUUGAGUACAUGGUCUUGUGAGCUUCUUCCAUCAGAAGAUCUCUUAUUCCGCCCGUCUUAGGUACCCAAAUUCUAUCUUGAAAUACCUUCAACCCUUGGUUGUUUGUACCGAACACUAACGUUUUGCCCAAACGUUCUUCCUUUCGGUCAUUUUUCUCUAAAGCUUCCUCUUGAGCUUUCUUUAUACUUUCCACAAUUGUCGAGACAACUUCAAUUCUCAACGCUCUUGGCCUUUUCUUUUCAAGGUUUACCUUCCGACUGAGAGCAUCAGCAACAACAUUUGCUUUACCAGGGUGGUAAAGUAUCUCACAGUCGUAGUCCUUGAGUAACUCUAGCCAGCGUCGUUGCCUCAUGUUCAAUUCCUUCUGAUUAAAGAGAUAUUGGAGACUCUUAUGAUCAGUGAAAAGUUUACACUUGGUGCCAUAAAGAUAAUGCCUCCAUAUCUUCAAGGCAAAUACUACCGCUGCCAACUCCAAAUCAUGAGUGGGGUAGUUCUUUUCAUGUUCCUUCAAUUGCCUCGAUGCAUACGCGAUCACUUUAUCCCUUUGGGUCAGAACACAACCUAACCCAACUCCGGAUGCAUCGCUAUAAACUGCAAAGUCAUCAACUCCUUCAGGCAAUGAAAGAAUCGGUGCUUCACACAAUCUCUUCUUCAACUUCUCAAAGGCUUCCUUAUGCUUCUCAUUCCAAGCAUAAGUGGCUCCUUUGUGGGUCAAAGCUGUUAAUGGAGUAGCAAUCGAAGAAAAGCCUUGGAUAAACCUUCGGUAAUAUCCAGCUAAUCCUAAAAAGCUUCGAAUCUCCGUAGGACUUUUUGGUUGUUCCCACUUCAUUACAGCUUCAAUCUUUGCUGGGUCAACCAUUAUUCCUUCUUGGUUAACCACAUGACCUAAAAAUUGGACUUCUUGAAUCCAAAAUUCACACUUGGAGAACUUUGCAUACAGCUUCUCCUUUUUCAGGACUUCUAGCACUUCACGCAGAUGCUUUUCAUGCUCCUGCUUGCUUUUCGAAUAAAUCAAGAUAUCAUCUAUGAAUACUAUCACGGAUUUAUCUAAGAAUGGUUUACAAACCCUAUUCAUCAAAUCCAUGAAAGCUGCUGGGGCAUUGGUUAGUCCGAACGACAUAACCAAAAAUUCAUAGUGUCCAUAUCUCGUUCUAAAAGCAGUCUUUUCGAUAUCCUGCUCUCUCACCUUUAGUUGAUGGUAUCCCGACCUAAGAUCGAUCUUCGAGAAAUAGCUCGAACCCUGCAACUGGUCGAACAAGUCAUCGAUCCUUGGCAACGGGUACUUGUUCUUUAUCGUCACUUUGUUCAGCUCUCUGUAAUCGAUGCACAUUCUCAUGCUUCCGUCUUUCUUCUUUACAAAUAACACAGGGGCUCCCCAGGGUGAUGAACUAGGUCGAAUGAAACCUUUGUCCAAUAACUCCUGAAGUUGUGUCAUAAGUUCUUUCAUUUCGGUUGGCGCUAAUCGAUAAGGUGCUUUCGCUAUCGGCGUCGUUCCUGGUAACAAGUCGAUACGAAAUUCUACUUGUCGAUCAGGGGGCAAUCCGGGAAGAUCUUCGGGAAAGACUUCCGGAUAAUCACACACCACCGGAAUAUUCUGCACCUCCUUCUUUUCCAUCUUGGCAUCGAUCACGAAUGCUAGAUAUGAUGUACAUCCCUUGGCCAAACACUUUCUGGCUUUCAUUAGGGAAAUGAUUCCAGAGUUUACUCUGCGUUUGUCUCCGUACACCAUAAACGACUCUCUCCCUGGUGGGUUUACUUUUACUAUCUUCUUUCUACAUAGUAUUUCUGCAUCGUUGGCGCUAAGCCAAUCCAUUCCUAAAACUAUGUCGAAUCCAUUUAACUCGAUAGGCAAUAAUUCCUCUUGGAACUUAUUCCCAUCCAAGUCAAUGAGGAUGUUUUUCAUACGAUGGCUAACAGGUACAAACUUGCCACUAGCAAUCUCGACUAUUAUAGCAUUAACUAGCAUAUCUACAGGCAAAGCUAGCUUUCUACCAAAUUCAUGCGAUAUAAAGGAGUAAUUGGCUCCAGAAUCAAACAAAAUUUGGGCAGGCAAUUCGUUUACGAGAAAGGUACCUGAAGCGACAUCGGCUUCUUCUUUCGCAGCUUCGAGGGUCAUCUGAAAGGCUCUCGCCUUCGGCUUUGGUGGUAGAUUGGGUUUUGCUGCGUCCUUCUUCUUCGGGCAGUCCCUCAAAAUAUGCCCUUCUUCAUUGCACCCAAAACAUACGUUCUUAUUGAAGGUGCAUUCAUUGGCAUAAUGCCCUGGCUUUCCACAUUUGUAACAAGUGACUUCCACGCUGCACUUCCCAGCAUGUUUCUUCUUACACUUGUCACACCACUUGGCUUCGCUUCCUCCUCCAAACUUUCUCGAACCAGUCUUCGAGAAUUUGUUCUUUUUAUUGGAACCUGAAGUUCCUUCAAACUUUCUCUUUUCGCCAACUUCAACCUUGCUGGCGGCUCUCCCUUUUAUCAUAUCUUCAACAGACUUGGCAGCCCAGAUAGCUGCCUCCAAAGUAAGUGCCUGACGUACUGGCACCGCAUACUCCCAUGGAAGUCCCUUUGCGUACCUGUCUAUUUUUGCCAACUCAUCUGGGACAAUACGCAAAGCAAACUCCAUUUUGUCUGUGAAGUUAUUUGUAUAUUCGUCAACGGUCAUACUCCCCUUCUGCAACGUUAGAAAUUGGUUUUCUAACUCAAGUACGUUUUGGGCCGAGCAGUACUUGCGCUUGAAGUGCACUAAGAACUCUGCCCAAGUUAAUUGCAGUGGCUCAUUAGGGCUUAGGGUUUUCCCCAAAGUGCUCCACCAACGAGCAGCACUACCCCUGAACUGACGUACUGCAAACGUAGUUUGUAACUUGCCUUGGCAAUCACAAGUCAUGAAAGCCAACUCCAUUUCCGAGAUCCAGUCCAUUACUCCGACAGGAUCUUCUUUUCCAUUGAAGGUCGAUGGCUUGCAAGUCAUAAAGUCCUUAUACUUGCACCCAUUUCUCUCCACUCUACCCUCGUGGUUAUUCCUCCCAACCACAAGCGGUUCACUAUGACCAACCGAUCUGCUAUUGUUCCCUUCUUCAGAUCGAUCGUCAUUUAGUUCACGUUGUUCAACAGGAACUGAAGGUUCAUCCCUGUCGUUCAGCAACAUUUGCCUCAAUUCCUCCCUCUGUUCAGCCAACAUGGCCUGAAUCAUAGUUCGUACUCCAGCCAUGGUGAUGGGUUCGGGUGCAGCUCCUACUAUAGGCACCUGUUCCACCACUGGAGGUUGAGGUUGUUGGUUUCUGUUUGCAUUUCCAGCUCCACUCCGAGUUCUUGCCAUUACAAUCUAUAUACCGAAUAAGGCGAAAUUUAGGUCUUUAUCCUUGUUAGACAUGUCAAUUCCCUUAUCACUCCGAAACGUUUACAUGUUAGUUCUAAUCUCGUAUUCAUACGCUUAGAAUCCUACACACAUAAGGUUUCCAGAUCCGGUCGGCAACAGACCAUAGAUCCGAACAAAUAAUGGCACACAUGGCAAACACAUAGCAUUUAGCACAUAAGGGCAUUUUAGGCAUCUUCCCUAAAAUAAACUAGUGCUCGUGUCUAAAAUAUGGUAGACACUCAUCUCACAAUCAUCACUUAGCAUUCUAAGUUCAAGUCUAGAAAUUCUACAAUUUCUUAGUUCGCUUAAACUAAUGCUCUGAUACCAACUGUGACAUCCCCAUAUUUCUCGGCCAGAAAAGACCGAUUUAAUUUAUGCUUUUUAAAAUAAAAUCAGAGAAAUCUUUUUAUAAGAUAUUGCGGAAUUGGUCCCCAAACAAUAUAUGAUAAAAGUUUAUCAAAAUCCUUCAUUAAGAAGGUAUAUAUUUUCCAUAUAUAUAUCAAAACCUCGGGAUGUCAUGUUCCGAUACAGAUCAAAAGCAUAAACAAGACAUUAUAAGCCUUUCAACAGUUAUUUACAACUACUGGCCUAUAAUCCAAAAAUCUCUCGUCAUCCUCCGACUAUGCUCGGGGUCCACUACCUGUAAUCAUAAAACUGAGUGGGUCAGGCUUGGGAGCCUGGUGAGCAUAUAGGGUUUUCAACCCACAAUAAUAAUAUACUUAUUAAGUUCACCAAUCAACAAUAACCCUGAUUACCCAUUCCCGUUGUCCUCACUUUACGUCCCUAAACACCUAUCACAAGGGACCUAGCCUAAGGAUUAUCAUCGGGAUGGACACUACUGCUAAGGGGUUUCCUCAGCCAUACAUGUCCUUAAGGCAACCAUGAGGGGGAUGAAGUACGCCAAUGAACAUUUAAUUCAUCAACACCUACAAGUUGCGAACCUGCUAGUGUUCCACUGGACUAUCUAGAAAGUCCGUGGUCGUCAUCUAUACUUCGCUAGAUGACUACAACAACAACAACAACAUCAACAUCGAGGCCUCUCACCAUUUUAACACACAUCAACUAUUUCAUCUACCCAUGUUCUACCCAACAUAUUUUGUAGAUAAAAAGCAUAUACAGUUUAAAACUUGUAUAAAACAUCAAUUCAACAGUCACCUCGAAUAAACAAUUAGCAUAUUUACACAUAACACGUAUUUCAAGGUAAAUACUUCAUAUCUAUGUGUAAAUUGAAAGUAACUACACACUCACUUAUUUUGGUGAAAAUCGGGCAGCAAUUCGUUUCCUAAAACGAUCGUUUCUAAUAAAACCGGGAGUUUUAUUGAGAAACCGGGCUCUGCAAAAGUCGGGCUUCGAAACCGAAAAGAUAAAUUUUCCGGGCUUCUCGGGCACUUCGUGGGGUAUUCCGGGCUUUACAAUUGAUACCGGGGCUUUGCGGGAUGUUAAGAUGAAGAAAAUAUGGAGAGAGGGGCUAAAAAUGGCUAAAUUCCAAAAGUAACCGGAAACCCUCGCAGGUACCCUUCUAUUUAUAGGGUCCGAAGUUUGAUCCAACGGCUGAGAAGUCUCCUGAUCCGACGGCUAAGAGGCUUCGCAGGGGGGGUCUCGCACAUGGCUCGCAUGGCUCGCACAUGGCUCGCACAUGCGAGGGCUCGCUGUCGGCUUCUAAGUGGACCGCGGCUUGCUGGCGCACCUGCGAGGCUCGGAGCUAGGCUAUGCGAGGCUCGGACACACGCGGCAGCUGGGCGAAGCUUCGGCUGGGGAGCUGGCUGCUUCGGAUUGGGCCUCCUCCUCGGUCGAAUCAGAAGAGGACACGUGGCUCGCAUGACUCAGCAGCCUCGGUGACUCAGCAGCCUAAUGACUCAGCAGCCAGGUGACUCAGCAGGACACGUGUCACUUUCUAAGCGAGGGUGACGUGGCAAUUGUGACUAUGCGAAAUUUCUCGGUUUUCGUGCCAAAACUUCUAAAAUCCAUAACUUUCGCAUACGAGCUCCGUUUUUGACGUUCUUUAUAUGCACGCGUAGCUAAAAUUACGAUCUACAACUUCCGUUUAGACUUCGUCGGCUAAUUUUGACUUUAAUUUUUAUAUUAUUAUUUUUAACAGACCGGGACAGGAAAUCCGUUAAAAAUUCAUAACUUCUUCAUCCGACGUCCGUUUUCGUCAGACUUUUUACCGUUGUGCUCCUAAUGACGAGACCUUCAAUUCUCGUUUAGGUUGUGUCGGCUAAAAAUCGCUCGAUCUAAAAUUCGAGUUUUUAGCUGUCUACUGCUAUGCUGAAACUUCGAAAAAUCAUAACUUCCUCAUACGAAGUCAGAUUUGGGCGUUCUUUUUAUCGAACUUCUCGGUUUAACGAAUACUACAACUUUUGUUUAGAUUACUAAGGCUAAAAAGUAGUUUAUCAAAAACUCACUUUUUACGACAUUCAGCACCGUGCCGGUUUUGUCGCGAAACUUCGACAGGUCAUAACUUCUUCGUUAUAACUCGGAUUUUGGUAUUCUUUAUAUCCCCGAAAUCCUUGUUUCGACCACUACAACUUUAUGUAAAGAUAUAGAGCUUAUCUCACACUUUAAUUUUGACACUUAUUUUUAUUCUUAAUUAAUUAAGCCCUAAUAAUUAAGCAUAAAACACAUAAUUCACAUAAUAUUUACAUAACUCCUUUUCAUUUCUUCAAAAUGAGUUACAAAGGUUAACCUAGACUAUCAACUCAAUAUAAAUGCAUAGGCUAGAAACACGAGUGUUACAUUGGUUAUGGAAGUAUUG
rnacentral:lncRNA from 1 species